UAUGUCAAAACGACUCUCGGCAACGGAUAUCUCGGCUCUCGCAUCGAUGAAGAACGUAGCGAAAUGCGAUACUUGGUGUGAAUUGCAGAAUCCCGUGAACCAUCGAGUCUUUGAACGCAAGUUGCGCCCGAAGCCGUCAGGCCGAGGGCACGCCUGCCUGGGCGUCACA
rnacentral:rRNA from 10 species